rnacentral:lncRNA from 1 species
GGAGUUGAGACUUUUCUGUGGCCUUUGGGGACCUCUGAACAGUGCAAUCAGGUCUUCCCUUAGAAAGAUGCUUUGGCAAAAGGAGGAGGGGCAGGGACGGAGUUCUGCCGACAGCCGGGAAAAUCAGAGGAGGCCACUGGCCCCUUCUACCCAGGAGGGUGAAUCCUUCUGUAUUAGCCCCAGGCACCCUAAAAAAUACCACUGACUGAGUGGCUUAAACAGCAGGGUUUUAUUUUCUCACAGUUCUGGAGGCUAAAAGCCCCAGAGGCCUCUCUUCCUGGUUUGCACACAGCCACCUCUCACCAUGUCCUCCCACGGGGAGGUAGCACCCAAGCUCUCUGGUCUCUUAUAAGGACACGAAUCCUGUUGGAUCAGGGCCCACCCUUAUGACCUCACUUAACCUUCACCAUCUCCUUAUAGGCCCUGUCCCCAACUACAGUCACAUUGGGGAUUAGAGCUUCAGCGUCUAAUAUUGGCGGGGGGGGGGACACCAUUCAGUCCAUAGCCCCCCCUUCCUCAGGGCUCCAACCACAUCAUGCACAGAACUCAGCUGUAGCCCACAUCACACGGUGCUCUUCAGUCCAGCCACGCGUCCUUCAGCGGCUGGGAUACGUUCUCGACAAUGCAUCAUCAGGCUUGAGUGACAACUUGAGGACAAGGCGGCGCCUCGACAAGAUUUCACACAGCAGCUACGGGGGCCAGAGAAGCAGCACCACAUGGUGUGGCAGGAGAAGGAGGACAUGCACAAGCAAUUGGUUGAAGCUUCAGAGACAUUGAAAUCCCAAGCCAAAGAACUGAAAGAUGCCCAUCAGCAGCAAAAGCUGGCCCUGCAGGAGUUCUUGGAGCUCAAUGAGCUCAUGGCAGAGCUCUACUCCCAGAAGCAGAAGGUGUGGGACAAGGAGGAGAUGGAAGUAGCCAUGCAGAAAGCUGACAUGAUGUGGCAGGAGAUCUGAAGAUCCAAGAAGCUGAGAAAGAGGAUGCUGUUUAGCCAGAUGCGGUGGCUCACGCCUGUAAUCCCAGCACUUUGGGAGGUCGAGGCGGGUGGAUGGCCUGAGGUCAGGAGUUUGAGACCAGCCUGGCCAACAUGGUGAAACCCCGUCUCUAUUAAAAAUGCAAAAAUUAACCAGGCAUGGUAUUGGGUGCCUGUAAUCCUAGCUACUUGGGAGGCUGAAGCAGGAGAAUUGCUUGAACCUGGGAGGCGGAGGUUGCAGUGAGCCAAGAUCAUGCCACUGCACUCCAGCCUGGGCAUCAAGAGCAAAACUCUGUCUCAAAAAAAAAAGGG